rnacentral:tRNA from 1 species
GGCCGAGUGGGUAUCAUACCAGGCUUGGACGCCGGAGGUCCCGGGUUCGAUUCCCGGCUAGGUCG